GGGCAUGUAGCGUAGGGGUUAUCGCGUUCGCUUUGCAUUCGAGACAAUAAGCGAUGAUGCUUUGCGAAAGGUCUCCGGUUCAAAUCCGGACUUGUCCA